rnacentral:rRNA from 1 species
CGGACGGGUGAGUAACGCGUGAGAAUCUGCCCUCAGGAGGGGGAUAACGGCUGGAAACGGCCGCUAAUACCCCAUAUGCCGAGAGGUGAAAUGAAUUUCGCCUGAGGAUGAGCUCGCGUCUGAUUAGCUAGUUGGUAGGGUAAAGGCCUACCAAGGCUUCGAUCAGUAGCUGGUCUGAGAGGAUGAUCAGCCACACUGGGACUGAGACACGGCCCAGAUUCCUACGGGAGGCAGCAGUGGGGAAUUUUCCGCAAUGGGCGAAAGCCUGACGGAGCAACGCCGCGUGAGGGAUGAAGGCCUCUGGGCUGUAAACCUCUUUUAUCAAGGAAGAAGAUCUGACGGUACUUGAUGAAUAAGCCACGGCUAAUUCCGUGCCAGCAGCCGCGGUAAUACGGGAGUGGCAAGCGUUAUCCGGAAUUAUUGGGCGUAAAGCGUCCGCAGGCGGUCUUACAAGUCUGUCGUUAAAGCGUGGAGCUUAACUCCAUUUCAGCGAUGGAAACUGUAAGACUAGAGUGUGGUAGGGGCAGAGGGAAUUCCCGGCGUAGCGGUGAAAUGCGUAGAUAUCGGGAAGAACACCAGUGGCGAAGGCGCUCUGCUGGGCCAUAACUGACGCUCAUGGACGAAAGCCAGGGGAGCGAAAGGGAUUAGAUACCCCUGUAGUC